GAUUUCAGCAUUUUUACCUGAUGAUGUGUUUAACAACUUCUUUCAUCACUGCAACAUAUUAACAAUUAUUUUUAUAAAGUUGCUCUCAUGUAGAGACAAAGUGAGAGGACAUCAGGCUGACUAUUACAUCUACAUCAUUGCAAAUGCCUUCAGUGUUCAAAUUGCAUCACUGACCUUCCCUUCUGUUGCAAGAACUUGGUAUUUAAGAACUCUAAGAAUUUAGAAAGAAGGAGAAUAUGGAGUACGGAUGUGUGCUGACAUUUCAACUCCUCUGAGCUUUCCUGGAAACUCACAGUGACAAUAAACACCUGGAGUUCUCCAUCACACUGUUCUUUUGCUUUGCUUCUUUGGCAGCAGAGGAAUGUCUUUGACACCUGUGGGCUGGCAUCCUCUGCAAUCUAGAUCUCCAGAAGAUAUAAACAAUCCUAACACUGCUACCUUCAAUGCAGCCACAGACCUGAGCCUUAAAACUACAGUCAUAACCUUAGAGACAAGUAAGGAAAUAUUCAAGUUGUCUUCAGAAUCUGUUGACUACAGUUAUUCCUCAAAAUGGAGAGUUUAGCCAUGACGGUCUCUCUCAUGCUGUUUGUUACUUGUAUAAUGAAUGGACCAUGGUGUAUUCAGAUACUGCCCCAGUCCUAAUGAACUCUUUUCAGCAGUUGCGAAUGGAAGAGCAGCUUCAGGAUCAUAGGGAAUGUAAGGAGGGACAACAAUGCCACUUAUAAUCAGGAUGGAGUGAUCUGGCUUAUUCCAACUAAUCCAAACAAUUGGCUUCCCUGUAAGUAAAAAUUCUAAUUUCCAUUCCAUGAUAAUGCUUUUGCAGUUAUCAAAAUGUAUAAAUGGCUAUAGAUGAUUGGAAAGAGAGAUGAUUCAGCCUAUUUUUCAUAGUAACUAUAAUUGCAAAUACAGUUGAUGUAGACAAUGGGCCCAAUCUCUGCUUAAAACUCGCCCUUUUAUUUAGGCCUGUUGUUUAAUUACUUCUGAGACAUCCUUCAAACUUUGCUCUUGAUAUCUAGGAGAAAUGCUAGUUCCUCCCACAUAAUGCAAGUGAUGUUCAGACACAACCCUGGACUAGAAGACCACCCUUGUGAAGAACAACUUAUCUUUUAUUCCUGAUUUAUCCACAUUUUUAUUAUCUUCACGAGCUCCCAGCCUUGUGAUCAUCCAUAAGAGUUCUUUUUGAUUCUCUUCCGAGACGCCAUUUUUCAUUAAAGCAAAUUCACAAGAGGAUGUAAAAAGCCUGCUUCAGCUAUUUCUUGAUUAUCAUUGAAGUAUCAUUGCACCUUUCAUACCUGGCAGUGAUGACUCCACAGCUCUCAAAAGUCAUUCUUUUUGAGAUGGUCUAACCAAUGUAGAUGUAAUUAUGAUAAUCUGUUUUCAAAAAAAAACUUGUUAACUUUGACAGCAGCAGCUUCUAUUUCAGACCUGAUGAACGCCUUGUGGGUCUAAAAACUACUCAAUUUUUUCCAAGUAUGUUAGCAGAUCUAACCAAAAAAAUCAGACCUAGAUCUAGUGAGAUUACAAUCUUGCCUUUGUUUUCUUUCACCUUGGAGAAAUGGAACCUUCUAAACUCAUACUUAAAUUUUAUGUGAAUCUUGGGACUGAAUCUUGGCUUAAACUCACUUUGUUGUCAUACUAGGAAAAUCUUGGGGGUCCAGUGUUCCAUAGCCUGGCUCUUGAUGAUUGAACAGUGAGAAUUUUAGAAUGGAAGUUUCAAUCCUCUGCUUAAUAUUAGCAGAAUGAAUGGAGGAAAAUGUUACUCAUUUAGAUGUGUUCUAUAUGGAAGAUCAAACUAAUAUAUGAGAGUAUUGCACUGAAAAUUAUAUCCUGUGGGGCAAAACCCAAGACUCAUGCCUGUAAGAUAACAUAAUUUACCCUCUGAGUAUAUC